rnacentral:rRNA from 1 species
GACGAACGCUGGCGGCGUGCUUAACACAUGCAAGUCGAACGGAAAGGCCGUGGUUAUGUGGCUUGCUCGGGUGGCGAAGGGGUAAGUAACACUAGAGUAUCUUCCCCCUGACUUUGGGUUAACUUCAGGAAACUGGGGCUAAUACCGAAUAGGCGCUCCUUCGGCAUGGUGAGGGUUGGAAAGUUUAGGCGGUUGGGGCUGGAGUCGCGGCUUAUGAGCUUGUUGGUGGGGUAGUGGAUUAACAAGGGCUUGACGGGUAGCCGGCCUGAGAGGGUGACAGGGCACAUUGGGACUGAGCUACGGCCGAGAGUCGUACGGGAGGCAGCAGUGGGGAAGAUUGCACAAUGAAGGGAAGCCUGAUGCAGCAACGCCGAGUGCGGGAUGAUGGAAUUCGGGUUGUAAACCGCUUUCGCCUGUGACGAAGCGUGAGUGACGGUAACGGGUAAAGAAGCACCGGCUAACUACGUG